rnacentral:rRNA from 1 species
GACGUAGGGUCCAAGCGUUGUCCGGAUUUACUGGGCGUAAAGAGCGCGUAGGCGGCUCGGUAAGUGUGAAGUGAAAUCUCUAGGGCUCAACCCAGAAACUGCUUUACAUACUGCCAAGCUUGAGUGAUGAAGAGGUUUGUGGAAUUCCUGGUGUAGCGGUGAAAUGCGUUGAUAUCUGGAGGAACACCGGUGGCGAAGGCGGCAUCCUGGACCAAUACUGACGCUGAGGAGCGAAAGCCAGGGGAGCAAACGGG